rnacentral:rRNA from 1 species
GAGUUUGAUUCUGGCUCAGAGCGAACGCUAGCGGCGGGCCUAACACAUGCAAGUCGAGCGCCCUUCGGGGAGCGGCGAACGGGUGAGUAACACGUAGGUAAUCUGCCCUUUGGUGGGGAAUAGCCCGGGGAAACUCGGAUUAAUACCGCAUAUGGUCUUCGGAUCAAAGCCUUCGGGCGCCAGAGGAUGAGCCUGCGGCCCAUUACCUAGUAGGUGGGGUAACGGCCCACCUAGGGAACGAUGGGUAGCUGGUCUGAGAGGAUGAUCAGCCACACUGGGACUGAGACACGGCCCAGACUCCUACGGGAGGCAGCAGUGGGGAAUAUUGCGCAAUGGGCGAAAGCCUGACGCAGCCACGCCGCGUGUGUGAUGAAAGCUUUCGGGUCGUAAAGCACUGUCGGG